rnacentral:rRNA from 1 species
AACGAACGCUGGCGGCAGGCUUAACACAUGCAAGUCGAACGGGCAUAGCAAUAUGUCAGUGGCAGACGGGUGAGUAACACGUGGGAACCUUCCUAGAGGUACGGAACAACGCAGGGAAACUUGUGCUAAUAACGUAUACGCUCGAGAGAGGAAAGAUUUAUCGCCUUUAGACGGGCCCGCGUAGGAUUAGGUAGUUGGUGAGGUAACGGCUCACCAAGCCUACGAUCCUUAGCUGAUCUGAGAGGAUGAUCAGCCACACUGGGACUGAGACACGGCCCAGACUCCUACGGGAGGCAGCAGUGGGGAAUCUUGGACAAUGGGCGCAAGCCUGAUCCAGCCAUGCCGCGUGAGUGAAGAAGGCCUUCGGGUUGUAAAGCUCUUUUACCAGGGACGAUAAUGACGGUACCUGGAGAAUAAGCCCCGGCUAACUUCGUGCCAGCCGCCGCCGUAAAAC